AACAAUGGAUCUCUUGGUUCUCGCAUCGAUGAAGAACGCAGCGAAUUGCGAUAUGUAAUGUGAAUUGCAGAAUUCAGUGAAUCAUCGAAUCUUUGAACGCACCUUGCGCCCUUUGGUAUUCCGAAGGGCAUGCCUGUUUGAGUGUCAUUAAAUUCUCAACUCCAACACUUUUUUGUAUUGAAGCUUGGAUGUUGGAGGGUCUUGCGGGCAUAUAUUAAUGUCAGCUCCUCUUAAAUGCAUUAGCAGAACCUGUGUUCGGCUCUGGUUUGAUAAUCCUAUCUAUGCCAUUGCUGAAAUGUCAUUGUUCAGCUUCUAAUGGUCCAUUGGACUGUCUCUUCAGAGGCAUAUAUUUUGACUUGACCUCAAAUCAGGUAGGACUACCCGCUGAACUUAAGCAUAUCAAUAAGCGGAGG
rnacentral:rRNA from 1 species